rnacentral:lncRNA from 1 species
UUUUUUUUUGUUAUAAAAUCUAGAACAGAUUCUACAUUCAGUGGUAAUUCUGCAAUUAUUCUUCACAAGGAUUAUAAUAAUACCAAUUUCAAAAUAUUUCACUGGAAGGUUUUUGAAAAGCAAUAAAUUGCAUAUAUGCUCCUAUGAAUAAAAGAAAAGCAUGAGGCUUAUGAUUAGACAGAUUUCUUUUAUAAAAAGACAUAUUUUCUAGGAAGACUCAAAUUGGUCAAUUGGAAUUUUUAUCCCAAUGUGACCCAGUUUAUAACUUAAUACACAUAGGCUAUCAAAGCCAAUUUCUGAGAAAUCUUACUAAUAUAGUUUAUAGUUUAAAUAGUAAAGCCUUUUCAUAUGAUUUACUUAGUAUAAGUAAAAUGACAGUGCAUUUAUAUAACCAUGUAAUUCCUUUGUAAUUUUCUAUCACUUGUUAACCAUCUUCAUAAUUAGUAUUAAAUUAUGUCAUAGAUCAGUAAAAAGCAUUCUGUCAGAAGAGGAUCUAUCAGAAGGCUAAGAUGAAAAGCUUAAAAAUAGCACUAUAUCUGAAUCAAAUUCCUAUUUUUCUAUCUCUUGUUAUAUGAAACAGGGGUUUUCAUAAUAACAUACAAUUUGUUGAUAGAGUAUAAUAAAAAUGGUACACCUCUAACCAGAAUAGCUUCAAUACUUAUAAACACAAUACUUCUUAAUUUCACCAUGCACACACCAUGUAAUGGACAAAUUAUACUGCCUUAGGUUUUAAACAGUCCUCAAUGAUUGAAGGAUGCCACAGGAAUAAAAAUGUGAGCUGAAGAAAUAUAAUAAGCAGUCUCAUUCUCAAGGUUUAUUGAAUAUGGCAGAGCUAUGCACAUGUAUGUCAGUGGAAUGAUUUAGCAAAAUUACCUGUUAGUCAUGGAUCCUAGGGGGUCACCAUCACAUCUAUUUAAAGGCCUGAACUUAUAUCUUUAUUCUUCAAUGAAACAUAAAACUUGAAACUGUUUUAUACCAUACCCCAUACUCUGAAAACAAUGCCACAAUAUGCUACAUUUCUGAGUAAACAGAAAAUAAAAUUCCCUGGAAAUGAGUAAACAGAUUAGCCAGUUGGGCCAUUAAAAGUUUCAAAUAGCUUUCUUCUUCCAGCUUCAAAAUUGGCAGCAAUACUUACCAGCAAUCUUAUUUAUAGUAAAUCUCCCUUAAAAUAACUGAAUAGUCUCGAUAGAGAACUAUGAUGUAGUAGUUUUACGUAGAGGCAGGAAUACUGUUAGGUAUUAGUAAGCAUUUCAACCAAACCACUUAACAACACGGCAAUACUAUCAGCAGAAAGCAAGAUCCUAAUUUCACCAGCUAGAAAACUCAGAAAAACUAUCAAAUCUAAAUGCUUCAAGCAGCAAGAGGAAACAGAACACUGGUUUAAAUGGACUAAAGGGAAGUAAUGGGCAUUCAUGAAAAGAUGAAAGGCAGUUAUAACAUAUGAUGGUCACUUAACACCAAUGCCAUAACAAGACACUGCUUUAACACCAAGAAUACACUGAGUGACAGAGGAGACAAAAAUACUGGAAAAGGGUGGUAAGGGUGGGGCAAUUUUCCCUUAAGUGACUGUAGCACUUGCUAUUCUCUCUUAAGAAAAAUGAAAAUCACCUCUGGUUGGGAUCAGUCAGAGAUACAGCUCUAUGAACCCCUCCCAAAACACACAAGCACAGGAAUCUCAUAUUCCAGAAAUGAGGUUUGUGUGUGCAUGUGUUCCUGUAUACAUCACAUGUUGGAAAGGGGAAAAGAGGUAUAUGAAGCUCAGAAGGCUGGUGUUGCUCAAGGUCAUUCUCCUCUUGAAAAGAGAGAGUGAAAAAAAAUGACAAAAAGCAAUGGUCUGGGGACAGAAGUUAAAUGACAACUUCUUUCUACCUGCCUACAUGCUGAUAUCUGUUUCCAAAGGUAUCCUGACUUUCCUAUUAUUCUGCCCCUCUUAAUAGUGACCC